rnacentral:rRNA from 1 species
GACGAACGCUGGCGGCGUGCUUUACACAUGCAAGUCGAACGGUGAAGGUGGAGCUUGCUCCGCCGGAUCAGUGGCGAACGGGUGAGUAACACGCGGGCAACCUGCCCCUAACUUUGGGAUAACUACUCGAAAGAGUAGCUAAUACCGGAUAUGAAGUCUGUAGGCAUCUACGGACUUGGAAAGUUCUUCGGUUAGGGAUGGGCCCGCGGCCUAUCAGCUUGUUGGUGAGGUAGUGGCUCACCAAGGCGACGACGGGUAGCCGGCCUGAGAGGGCGACCGGCCACACUGGGACUGAGACACGGCCCGGACUCCUACGGGAGGCAGCAGUGGGGAAUAUUGCGCAAUGGGCGAAAGCCUGACGCAGCAACGCCGCGUGCGGGAUGAAGGCCUUCGGGUUGUAAACCGCUUUCAGCAGGGAAGAAGCGAAAGUGACGGUACCUGCAGAAGAAGCACCGGCUAACUACGUGCCAGCCGCCGCCGUAA